rnacentral:rRNA from 1 species
GAUGAACGCUGGCGGCGUGCCUAACACAUGCAAGUCGAGCGAAAAGACGAGGAGUUUUCCCCUCUGACGGUAGCGGGGGACGGGCGUGUAAGACGUGCAUAAUCUACCUAUAAGACUGGGGUAACUUCGGGAAGCCGGAGCUGAUACCGGAGAAUAUGUUGAACGGCAUGGUUCAAUAGAUAAUCACGGUUUUGCAGAUACUUAUAGCUGGAGCCGCGUCGGAUUAGCUAGUUGGUAAGGUAACGGCUUACCAAGGCGACGAUUCUGAGCCGACCUGAGAGGAUGAUCCGCCACACUGGAACUUCGACACGGUCCAGACUCCGACGCGAGGCAGCAGUAGCGAAUCUUCCACAAUGGCCGCAAUCCUGACGAAGCAACGCCGCGUGAGUGAUGAAGGUCUUCGGGUCGUAAAGCUCUUUUAUUGGGGAAGAACACAUGUCUGCGAAAAUCUUCCCGUCUUGACGGUACCUAAUGAGAAAGCCACGGCUAACUUCGUG